rnacentral:rRNA from 1 species
GUACACACCGCCCGUCGCUACUACCGAUUGAGUGUUUUAGUGAGGUCCUCGGAUUGCUUUCCUGGCGGUUAACGCUGCCUAGUUGGCGAAAAGACGACCAAACUGUAGCACUUAGAGGAAGUAAAAGUCGUAACAAGGUUUCCGUAGGUGAACCUGCAGAAGGAUCA